rnacentral:rRNA from 1 species
UAAUACAGAGGUCCCGAGCGUUGUUCGGAUUUAUUGGGCGUAAAGGGUGCGUAGGCGGCGGAGUAAGUUGGGUGUGAAAUCCCGAGGCUCAACCUCGGAAUGGCAUUCAAUACUGCUUCGCUCGAGUACUGGAGAGGAGGCUGGAAUUUACGGUGUAGCAGUGAAAUGCGUAGAUAUCGUAAGGAAGGCCGGUGGCGAAAGCGAGCCUCUGGACAGUUACUGACGCUGAUGCACGAAGGCCAGGGGAGCAAACGGGAUUAGAUACCCCGGUAGUCCUGGCAGUAAACGGUGCGCGUUUGGUGUGGGGGGAUUCGACAAUCUCCGCGCCGGAGCUAACGCGUUAAACGCGCCGCCUGGGAAAUACGGUCGCAAGAUUA